GACGAACCGAGCGAACGUUGUUCGGAAUCACUGGGCUUAAAGGGCGCGUAGGCGGGCGGUCAAGUCAGGGGUGAAAGCCUCCAGCUCAACUGGAGAAGUGCCUCUGAUACUGAUCGUCUCGAGGGGGAUAGGGGCGUGCGGAACUUCCGGUGGAGCGGUGAAAUGCGUAGAUAUCGCUUGGAACGCCAAAGGUGAAGACAGGUUGCUGGAGAUAUGCCGACACUGAGACGCGAAAGCCAGGGGAGCAAACGGG
rnacentral:rRNA from 1 species